rnacentral:rRNA from 1 species
UGUGUGUUAGUGGAAGCGUCUGGAAAGGCGCGCGAUACAGGGUGACAGCCCCGUACACAAAAAUGCACAUGCUGUGAGCUCGAUGAGUAGGGCGGGACACGUGGUAUCCUGUCUGAAUAUGGGGGGACCAUCCUCCAAGGCUAAAUACUCCUGACUGACCGAUAGUGAACCAGUACCGUGAGGGAAAGGCGAAAAGAACCCCGGCGAGGGGAGUGAAAAAGAACCUGAAACCGUGUACGUACAAGCAGUGGGAGCCUCUUUUAUGGGGUGACUGCGUACCUUUUGUAUAAUGGGUCAGCGACUUAUAUUCUGUAGCAAGGUUAACCGAAUAGGGGAGCCGAAGGGAAACCGAGUCUUAACUGGGCGUUAAGUUGCAGGGUAUAGACCCGAAACCCGGUGAUCUAGCCAUGGGCAGGUUGAAGGUUGGGUAACACUAACUGGAGGACCGAACCGACUAAUGUUGAAAAAUUAGCGGAUGACUUGUGGCUGGGGGUGAAAGGCCAAUCAAACCGGGAGAUAGCUGGUUCUCCCCGAAAGCUAUUUAGGUAGCGCCUCGUGAAUUCAUCUCCGGGGGUAGAGCACUGUUUCGGCAAGGGGGUCAUCCCGACUUACCAACCCGAUGCAAACUGCGAAUACCGGAGAAUGUUAUCACGGGAGACACACGGCGGGUGCUAACGUCCGUCGUGAAGAGGGAAACAACCCAGACCGCCAGCUAAGGUCCCAAAGUCAUGGUUAAGUGGGAAACGAUGUGGGAAGGCCCAGACAGCCAGGAUGUUGGCUUAGAAGCAGCCAUCAUUUAAAGAAAGCGUAAUAGCUCACUGGUCGAGUCGGCCUGCGCGGAAGAUGUAACGGGGCUAAACCAUGCACCGAAGCUGCGGCAGCGACGCUUAUGCGUUGUUGGGUAGGGGAGCGUUCUGUAAGCCUGUGAAGGUGUGCUGUGAGGCAUGCUGGAGGUAUCAGAAGUGCGAAUGCUGACAUAAGUAACGAUAAAGCGGGUGAAAAGCCCGCUCGCCGGAAGACCAAGGGUUCCUGUCCAACGUUAAUCGGGGCAGGGUGAGUCGACCCCUAAGGCGAGGCCGAAAGGCGUAGUCGAUGGGAAACAGGUUAAUAUUCCUGUACUUGGUGUUACUGCGAAGGGGGGACGGAGAAGGCUAUGUUGGCCGGGCGACGGUUGUCCCGGUUUAAGCGUGUAGGCUGGUUUUCCAGGCAAAUCCGGAAAAUCAAGGCUGAGGCGUGAUGACGAGGCACUACGGUGCUGAAGCAACAAAUGCCCUGCUUCCAGGAAAAGCCUCUAAGCAUCAGGUAACAUCAAAUCGUACCCCAAACCGACACAGGUGGUCAGGUAGAGAAUACCAAGGCGCUUGAGAGAACUCGGGUGAAGGAACUAGGCAAAAUGGUGCCGUAACUUCGGGAGAAGGCACGCUGAUAUGUAGGUGAAGCGACUUGCUCGUGGAGCUGAAAUCAGUCGAAGAUACCAGCUGGCUGCAACUGUUUAUUAAAAACACAGCACUGUGCAAACACGAAAGUGGACGUAUACGGUGUGACGCCUGCCCGGUGCCGGAAGGUUAAUUGAUGGGGUCAGCGCAAGCGAAGCUCUUGAUCGAAGCCCCGGUAAACGGCGGCCGUAACUAUAACGGUCCUAAGGUAGCGAAAUUCCUUGUCGGGUAAGUUCCGACCUGCACGAAUGGCGUAAUGAUGGCCAGGCUGUCUCCACCCGAGACUCAGUGAAAUUGAACUCGCUGUGAAGAUGCAGUGUACCCGCGGCAAGACGGAAAGACCCCGUGAACCUUUACUAUAGCUUGACACUGAACAUUGAGCCUUGAUG